rnacentral:tRNA from 1 species
AGUUUUGUCGCCUACAUGAUCUUCAAUCAACACCAAGCAAUCAAAAAACGCUGGGACUCUUAAUCCGUAGGUCGAGUGUUCGAGUCACUCACGCCCCACCA